UGAAAAAGGACCCAGAUGGCAAGAUUUUGAAGCACAAAGCCAGAUUAGUGGCAAAGGGCUAUGUGCAGAAACAAGGCAUAGACUACAACGAAGUGUUUGCACCAGUCGCAAGAUUGGAAACUAUAAGGGUCUUAUUGGCAAUUGCGGCACAAAAGGAUUGGGAGGUUCAUCAUAUGGACGUGAAAACAGCGUUCUUAAAUGGUGAAUUGGAAGAAGAUGUUUA
rnacentral:misc_RNA from 1 species